rnacentral:lncRNA from 1 species
UAAUCCAUUCAUAGAUUAAUGGAUUAAUGAAUUAAAGGGUUGUUUUGGGAGUGGCUGGCUUUAUGACAGGAAGAGAGGCCUGUGCCUGCCCAGUGAGCUCUCUCCCCACAAGAUGCCCUGUGCUGUCAUGAGACUCUGCAGUGUCCCUACCAGCAGGAAGGCUCUCCCCAAAUGCAGCCCCUUGACCCUGGACUUCCCAGCCUCCAGAACUUGAGAAGAGGAACAAAUGGAGGAACAUCCCAGUCAAGUGACAUUCCUAGUGACAUUCACCAGAACAGAGUCAAGCUUUGGAUCCCAUGUUCUGUGACUUCCUCUUCACCACGCUUCCUCCACACACGUAGCAGCUCAAGGGUUUCUGAUGAGUGGGGUCUAUGUUCCCUUUAUGAGCUGUAACGCACACCAUGAAGGUCUGCGGCUUGGCUAUUGAGUCAGUGAGAGCGUGAACCUACUAUUAGAAGAAAAACUCUGAAUACGUCUGAACGUCAGAAAGAACGAAGUUUGGACACAUUGUCUUUAAGAACUGUAACACUCACCCCAAGGGUUUAUGGAUUCAUUCUUGAAAUCAGUGAAACCAAAAGCUUUCCAAAGUUUAACACACAGGGAAAUGACUUACUGCAAAGAACCACUCUUCCCCACGAGACUUCGAGAAGACCCGCUGUCACGGACUGAGUUGUGUCCUCUUAAAAUUCAGAUGUUGGAGUCCAAACCCCCAGUAACUCAGAGUGUGAACGUAUUUGAAGAGGUCUUUAAAGAGGUGAUGAAGGUCUUUGUCUCUGACAAUUUGCCUCUGUGACGUGGAUGGGACUGGAAGUCCAUUUGGAGCCCUGUCUUCUCCACCUAGGGAGAGAGACCCCAUGAGCUCGUCAAGCUCCUUCUGUGACUGAUCAGAGAUCCCACCGUGAGUCCAGCUCCUGGUCCCAUGCUCUGGAUAUAUCGGUCCCUGGCAGCGUGCAGUCUUCUUUCCACCAAUGACCCCUCGCGCUGCUUCCAGAAGCCAAGAAAGUGGGCUUUGUCCUUGGGGAUUUAGGAGGCGGAGCGGCGCCCCCUUGAGGCCACAUGGUGGAGGCAGCGAUGAGACCUGGAGUCUAAAAUUCAGACUGAAUCACAGGAAGAAGCUAUUUACACAAGUCAAACAUGGUCCAAUCUUGGCAAUUUCAUAAGGUUCCAAUCCUUAAGGGAUCAAAACCUGGCCAACUGCUUCCACCGAGAGGUGUGCCUUUCAAUGCCAGGCUUGGAGUGUCCCUCUUUAUUUAAAAAGGAGAGGAUUCCACAGCAGAGCUUCUCAAACUCUUCCACCCAAAUCCCCUCACCACAGAGGGACAGGAGUCCUGGGCAUGUAGCCUAAAGCAGCCAGGAGAAAAAAACCUUGACCUUAAUUUUUUUAAUGAUUUCACAUGAAUCAGUGGAAUGUGUUUAUGAUAAAAUCAUCUCCUCCUGAAAUACAUGUGUAAAACUGCUGCCCCAGUUAAACGCACUUAGUCUAACCAAGCCCUAGGAUUGGCCUCUCCAGCAUGAGAAGCAUUUCCAGCACUCCAGCUCCCCAGCUCCCACUCUGGGAUCCCACCUCAGACCCUCCCACUUCCUUGCACUCUGGCCUCUCGCUCUUGACCCUGCUCCCGCCACGCUCUUUCCUCAGAGUCCAUCAGUCCUGUCUUGUCUUCACCUUGGUCUCUGCCAAGUGUGGGUCCAAGUCAUAUAUUUGGGCUGUGAUCACAGGAACCCCAAGCCCCAGACCUCCCAAAGCACCCUAUGGAGAGACCUUACCCUCCUGGACAGACCCUCUCCCCCCAGCUAGACCUCAUCCUCUGGGUAGACCCAUCUCCCCAACCAGAACUCACCCUCCUGAGUAAACCCCAUCCCCCUAGCUAGACUUCAUCCUCCUGGACAGAUCCCAUCCCCCCAGCUAGACCUCACCCUCUUGGGUAGAUGCAUCUCCCCAACCAGAACUCUCCUGGGUAGACCCCUUCUACCCAGCUAGACCUGAUCCUCUGGACAGACCCCAUCAUCCCAGCUAGACUUCUCCCUCCUGGACUGUCCCCAUCCCCCCUCCAGCCAGACCUCACCCCUCUGGGUAGACCCCAUCCCCCCAACUAGACCUCACCCUCCUGGAUGGACUCUACCCUCCUGGAGAUACCUUCCCCUCCUGGGUACAUCCCACGUGGCUACACACUCCUUCCCCUGUCAGCUUUCUCCCCCAGGGUUCUGGGCAGCAGAGUCUGUGAUAAAGGAUACUAAGUGAUUCCCCAAUACUUCCCGUUUCCAGCCUCCAGUGGGCUCUCCCUGGGGCUAACGGUUCUUUUUGCUAUUUCUCCAGGCUUUGCCUGAUGACAAGUAUACUCUGAGAGUGUCCUAAUGAUACAGAUUUUGGACCCUAUCCCAGUUCUACUGAAUCCAAGUCUCUGGGGGAGGAGUUGGGGCUCUGCAUCUGGACACCUUCCUGCAGGGUCCCUCCUGGGAGGCAAGCCCGGGGAGCACCGCUGAGGCUCGCCUCAGUGCCCAUCCUAGACCUUCAGCAGCUAGCAGAGGAUGUCCCCACCAUCCCUCAGCCCACACUCCCACUGUCGCCCCAGCCAGGCUUGGCACUGCCUCCUUUCUCAGAAGAUUAAGACCAUCUGCUGUUUCCCAAGUUUCCCACCCUCCACCCUAAAAAUUUCUCCGUUUCCCAGUCUUUCCUCGUCUCUCAGAAAAUAAACAUCUUCCCAGGCUGCCUCCCCAGUGGGUCUGCACUCCUUGCUGUCUUCCCAGCACCUGCCCUUCCAGCCCGCCCUCUGUGUGUCCAGUGUUUCCCUCACCAAAGGACUCGCUUUGUUUUUCAAAUUGGAGGUUUUGUCUUCUCCCUAAAAACCAAAACAUCUCCCUGAGAAGUAACUCCCUCAAGCUACUGAUACGGAAGGGGGGCGGGGAAGUGCUGGGAAGGGAAGGGUGUGGUCCCUGGCUAGGGCUCCACCCCCGGGCCUGUGCCCACAGACCUAGGUGAGGACAGGCAUUUCUGUUUUCGUGCUUAAAUGUUGGAUUUCCCAAGACUACCCUGGCCUACCACACCCUCAUUCUGUGCCUGUAAAAAAACCUGAGAGCUUAGCAGGCACGCACACAAGCCUCUGGACGUCAAGAGGAACACACCGGUGUAAGAGCAGACUGAUAGUGGCCCACGGCAGGCUGGCAGGCCAUCGACAGGCAGAACCACUCAGUGCAGCUGGAGGACAGCCUGGCCACGGAGCGGUCCGACUUCAGAGGGGAAAACCACCUCCCCACUCCGUCUCCCUUCUGGCUCCCCCAUCUGAGAGCUACUUCCACUCAAUAAAACCUUGCACUCAU